rnacentral:lncRNA from 1 species
CAUUUUCAUGGGAUCAUGAGUUUUGUGAUUUUCCCUUUCUCCCUCCCACACCCUUUCUUCACCUUAUCCGCCUGUGCUGCCUUCAUCUGUCGUGAAAGGCCCGUGUAUAAUCUACUCCAUAAUACAUAGUGACAUGCUUUCAAGUGUAAUGUGGGCAUUGAAAAGCACUGAUUUCCCAAGCAACCUCACACCUUCACAAAGCCCAGGACGAGAAACGGAGAGGACAAUGGUAAGUGAAGGCUAUGUUUGGCUCUUUAUCUUAUCCCGGCUGUGGACUCUGCUGCACAUGCUUCUGAGAAAUGGGUCCUGAGGUGAUUCAUCAGCAGGAGGGAGGCACUGAUUUUUAAAAAUACCCCUCACUUCACCACAUGACAGGA